GAAGGAUGGUCGAGUGGUUUAAGGCACCGGUCUUGAAAACCGGCGUGGGGUCUCCCCCACCGAGAGUUCGAAUCUCUCUCCUUCC
rnacentral:tRNA from 1 species